rnacentral:rRNA from 1 species
UACGUAGGGUCCGAGCGUUGUCCGGAUUUAUUGGGCGGAAAGAGCUCGUAGGCGGUUCCGUAAGUCAGAUGUGAAAACUCAGGGCUCAACCCGGAGACGCCAUCUGAUACUGCGGUGACUGGAGUCUGGUAGGGGAACACGGAAUUCCUGGUGUAGCGGUGAAAUGCGCAGAUAUCAGGAGGAACACCGAUGGCGAAGGCAGUGUUCUGGGCCAGUACUGACGCUGAGGAGCGAAAGCGUGGGGAGCAAACAGG